ACCAGCCUUCCAGGAAGUGGCCCAAUGGGGUUGUGUGUAAUGAGGCAGAACCAGAAAGAUGUCUUGAACUAAAAUACUACUUUAAAAGCAACUGGAAAGAAAGUACCUUGAUAACAGGGCAAGUUGAAAGUCCAAGAUUCUCCUCAUUCUCAUCCACACGUAUUUUUAUAAUGUUUUUAAAGUAAAAUGGGGUCAAAACAUUCUAAGGCUUACCCUAGGGUGACCAAAGUGGCCCCUAUACAAGAUAAAUGCCCAUUAUCUUCCCCAGUCAACCACAGGGAGGUGCCAUUCAUUGACAAUCUAGAGAAACGAAGUAUAUAUCCAUUUGCAAAACUACAAGGACAGAAGAAAUCACCGAAGCAGCUGCCUCCACUGCGGGAGACUGAGAAUGGAAGAUAUUCUUCAGAUCUUAACAUGCCCAGGCCCAUGUCUUUUGAUAUAUCAGUGGAAAAGAGAGAAACAAGUAUUAUUAAGAAGCAUCCACCCCGAAGAUUUCAAAUAUUUGAACCUUUUGGACCAGAAAUCACCAAUGCUGAAAAGUUCUUGACACAUAAAGGAGCUGAGACUACCCCAAAGAAAAAGCAGGAUCUGGAAAAGAAAAUGCAAUCCCUAACAUACUCUUCUGGGAAAAGACAAUAUUUAAACAAAAUGAAAAUGUUGGAAAUGAACUGCAAGAAACAAGAGGCUCAGGCUGAGCUGAAGAGAAAUCUCCACAAAGACGCAAGAAUUAAUAAACACAAAGCUAAGAAAAUCCUGGAAAACAUGCAAAAAAAUGAUAGCAGAAAAAACUCUAUGACUAGAAAGUCUGAUGUACUCAUGAAUGGAAAUAAAGGAAAUGAACAGAAUAGAGAAUUUGCAAAGAAUCAUGAACAGAUUGAAUAUAAUCCCAGGAGGAGUGAUGUAUUGCGAAGAUGGUCCCUCAAACAACAAGUCCAAGAUGAAAUAUUCUGGGACAGUUCUAGCACCAGUUCAGAUGAUUUGGACAAAAAUGAAAGGAAAUCCUGGGGACUCUUGAGGACCAAGACACAAAGAAUCCCAGUUUUUGAUGAGCUCCUUGAUCAAGAGUGAAAAAUCUGAGACCCAAAGAGGUUACCUGAUGUGUCCAAGGUCAAGUGAGUAGUAAGUGGCAGAGCCAGGAACCUAUUUCAGAUAAAAGAUUUAAUGCUGAGGAAGAGAAUUGGGAGAAGUGUGAGAGAAGCACGAGAAAAUCAGUGUUGGUUCGUAAUUAAAAUCAAUGAAGACUGAGAUAUCUGGACCUUUUCCACACAGAGGGAAACCACACCACAGGGAUAGUGAAAUAUGGGAUCUUGCAGACAAAGUGUGAAGGGCAGAAUUUCUAGAGUCCCAUGAAGAUUGGAACAAGGUAUUCAGUACUUGUCAUUUUUUAAAUUAGCCAUAAUUCCCCUUCUGUACAAAAACAGGAAACUUAGUAAUAGGCUAAAUAGGUCACAUGCUAAGUUUAAUCAUCAAUUACCUUGUAGUCGAGGGUAGGGGAACAAAGAAAAGAAUAGAUCUUCCCUUAUAAUAUUCCAAUUUGUUCACUGUACGAUUAGUGACUGGAUUAAAUGUAGAGAUUCUACUCCAGCCCCCAAAAUGUUUGCCAGCUAUUUAAAUGUUGUGAUCCCAUUGUUUGCUAGAUCCCAUUUCCUACAAUUUGUUUUAACCUCAUUCCAUGACCCCUGACUAUCUGUGGGCCCAUUAUCCGUGGAUUCUUUUGAUUGACAACUGUAUCCAAUGCCUUUCAUUUUUAUAAUAAAGAUUCACAUGAUAACUGGUAAAGACAAAGAGUUAAUGGGGGAAAGGAAAUGUGUAUUAGGUGACAAAAAUUGAGGCUAAAGGUUUUACUUUUUAAAACUUUGUUAAAGUUUUCAUUUUCUAAGUAAAUGGUGUCAAUGGUCACAUCUAGCUCAGAAUCUUUGAUUCUGUAAAUUGAUCUCAGCUUUUAAACACACAAAGGAUAUUUUAUA